ACGGCUCAGUAACACGUGGAUAACCUGCCCUUGGGUCCGGCAUAACCCCGGGAAACUGGGGAUAAUUCCGGAUAACGCAUAUAUGCUGGAAUGCUUUAUGCGUAAAAUGGAUUCGUCUGCCCAAGGAUGGGUCUGCGGCCUAUCAGGUAGUAGUGGGUGUAAUGUACCUACUAGCCAACAACGGGUACGGGUUGUGAGAGCAAGAGCCCGGAGAUGGAUUCUGAGACAUGAAUCCAGGCCCUACGGGGCGCAGCAGGCGCGAAAACUUUACAAUGCGGGAAACCGUGAUAAGGGGACACCGAGUGCUAGCAUCAUAUGCUGGCUGUCCAGGUGUGUAAACUACACCUGUUAGCAAGGGCCGGGCAAGACCGGUGCCAGCCGCCGCGGUAACACCGGCGGCCCGAGUGGUGAUCGUGAUUAUUGGGUCUAAAGGGUCCGUAGCCGGUUUGGUCAGUCCUCCGGGAAAUCUGAUAGCUCAACUAUUAGGCUUUCGGGGGAUACUGCCAGGCUUGGAACCGGGAGAGGUAAGAGGUACUACAGGGGUAGGAGUGAAAUCUUGUAAUCCCUGUGGGACCACCUGUGGCGAAGGCGUCUUACCAGAACGGGUUCGACGGUGAGGGACGAAAGCUGGGGGCACGAACCGGAUUAGAUACCCGGGUAGUCCCAGCCGUAAACGAUGCUCGCUAGGUGUCAGGCAUGGCGCGACCGUGUCUGGUGCCACAGGGAAGCCGUGAAGCGAGCCACCUGGGAAGUACGGCCGCAAGGCUGAAACUUAAAGGAAUUGGCGGGGGAGCAC
rnacentral:rRNA from 1 species